AGAAACACUACAAUGACCUUUGUCGCUAGGAAAUCUCCCGCCCUCACAGGAGGAUCCUGAGCCGGGGUUGGGACCUGAUUAGAAUGAGGGUUUUACAGAAAAGCAGAUUGAUUUUGUUUGGUUAAUUUAUUUUUUGGGGUAGUUAGUAUGAUAUUUUAUUUUUACCCAAACGUUACAUUUUUGGGUUAUCAUUAUCCACCCGCAUUGUAGGUGGCAGAAUGCACAUUUAAUUGUUACGAACGCCAUUAUACCAUAGAAGAAGAUCACCACACAGUAAUCUCAAUUUCGCUAAACAAAAUAUAUAUUUUUUUUAAAUGUUUGUUUGUCAUCAUGUCCGUGUGGUGUUAUGUGGCUGGCUGUGCUAAUUAGAUUCUGCAAGUAGUUACGGUUAUCAAUAAUGAUGGGACCAUUAUCAGAUGGAUUUUCAGGCUGAACUGAUGGGUGAUGUAUUUCGACGACAGCUGAGAAGUGAUGCGAUACCAUCGAUAUACUUUCCUUCACAACAAAAUUGAAGAUUCUCAAUUAGAAGUAACCUAACGUCAGCUAGCCUAGUUGGACUAGCUGGGUGGUAUAGAAUCUUACACCAUGAUGCGCAUCCAACCCCCAGCUCAGCACAAGGUGAAGGAGUUGUGCAGUACCAGGAAAUAUUCUUCAAGAGGACCAAACAGUUGGUGGUUAAGAAGCCCUACACCACUUUCGGCAGAGCCUUAUCCAGCUGGCCAUUCACCGCAGACAGGACAAGCCCAUCGCCAUAGCACAAAGAGUCUCCGCUUCCCCAGUGCACCAUGCCAAACACAUUUGCCAGUGUACCGAAGCCAGAUAAAGGACUAUGGCUGCAUUUACACAGGCAGCCCAAUUCUGAUAUUUUUUCACUAAUGGGUCUUUUGAUCAAUCAGAUCAGCUCUGAAAAAGAUCUGUUGUGAAAAAAUAGCAGAAUUGGGCUGUAUGUGUAAACGCAGACAGUGUGAUUCAGCAUAAGAUCAUGUAGAACACACUGAAGGAUGGCUCAUAAUAAUGGCCAGGACGGAGCAAAUGGAAUGGUAUCAAACACAUUGAAACUGAUGUAUUUGAUAUCGUUCCACUCUAGCCAUCACCACGAGCCCGUCAUCCUCAAUUAAAGUGUCUCCAACCCUGUUUCUGGAGAACUACCCUCCUGUAGGUUUAUGCUCCUACCAUAGUUGUAACUAACCUAGUUCCUUUUUUUAAACCAGCCAGCUAAUUAUUAGACUCAGGUGUGCUAGGUUACUACAGUGCUACAGGAUGGUAGCUCUCCAAGAACAGGGUUGGAGAGCCCUGAUUAGAACCACCAUCAAAUAAAUAAGAUAUUUUCUAUUAGUCUUUUAAAUUUGUCUGCCCUUAUGAAUUCACAGAAGACAUUUAUAUUAAAACUGUACAGGGCUCUGUAGCAUCAAACAGAUGCUAGACAUUCAGAUAUCCUCUGUAGACUCUACAGAUGGGACUUAUUCACCAUAGUAACCUCCUUAACCAAGCCUCAGAGUGUCAGGGACUGACUGGGCCAACCCAACAGCAGGUCCCUCACAAUGAGGGGCGGGCUUCAGCUUGGCACACAAUUCCAAAACCACAUGAGUGGACUUGGGUUAUAUGGAGAUUAGCAUAAGUGCUAUGUACUGGUUGUGCAUCCCACCUAAACGUAUCUGUAAUUACUGUAUUUGGCUGUAGUUCUGCUCUUGUUGUUAGUGUAUUUUUUAAAUACUAUGCAUUUUUGGUGUCCUGUUGUGCAUAUAAAAUAUGCUAUAAAGCAAUGAUACCAAAGCUGCGCAAAUAUUUGGAACUCAUUGUACAAGAUGAGAUGUUAUAUUUUACAUAAUUUAUUUAAAAAUAUAUAUACGCAUAAUAUGUGCAGUAGAGUGGGAAAGCAUGGAUGAGAAUAAAGACUCAGUUGUGGUACCCCUUUGGGUGGGUCAUAGUGCAAAAACAUUUUAGGGACUAUGGCCACAAGCAACACAUACUCCCUCUGUUGGACUCCUAUGAUAAAGCACUUGCAUCACUCAGUUACUGUUGCUGAAAAAACAUUGUUUGAACAUCAUUGCAUUGUUCGUAAUAACGUUGAAAACGACUAAUUCUCUCUCAGUUGUAACUGAGUACCUGUAUAUUAACUAUAGACAGACCAAAUCAACAAAGUGGUAAUGAAUAGUAUAGUGAUCUGGAUGCACCUUUUUUAAGUAAACAGAUUUGGUGUAACAUGACAA